GUGAUUGAAUCUAAACUUAUGAGACUUGCCCAGGACAACAAGGGCCCCUUGUGACAGACGGCACGAACCAGUGACUUCACAUCCAUUCACAGUGCAGUAUGCUCCCUGAAGUGGUCGUAAUGUCACAAUCCCACAGUUGUUGUCUAUCAUACAAUGGUCCUUUUCAAUCCACCGCCCCUUCAAAACAAUGUCUUGAUCUUGGUCUGAAUCACUCCUUCCAACUUUGGUAGUUCCUUCCCUGAGAUGAUACAGCACCACUCCUGUGCUGAGGAUAUCAUCAUCCAUCGCCAUUAGAUGAGGUAAAUUGGAGUCUAUUGUUACUCCAGCUUUUUCUUUGUUGAUGUCCAC
rnacentral:lncRNA from 1 species